AUGAACGCUAGCUACAGGCUUAACACAUGCAAGUCGAGGGGCAGCAUGGUCUUAGCUUGCUAAGGCCGAUGGCGACCGGCGCACGGGUGAGUAACACGUAUCCAACCUGCCGUCUACUCUUGGACAGCCUUCUGAAAGGAAGAUUAAUACAAGAUGGCAUCAUGAGUCCGCAUGUUCACAUGAUUAAAGGUAUUCCGGUAGACGAUGGGGAUGCGUUCCAUUAGAUAGUAGGCGGGGUAACGGCCCACCUAGUCUUCGAUGGAUAGGGGUUCUGAGAGGAAGGUCCCCCACAUUGGAACUGAGACACGGUCCAAACUCCUACGGGAGGCAGCAGUGAGGAAUAUUGGUCAAUGGGCGAGAGCCUGAACCAGCCAAGUAGCGUGAAGGAUGACUGCCCUAUGGGUUGUAAACUUCUUUUAUAAAGGAAUAAAGUCGGGUAUGGAUACCCGUUUGCAUGUACUUUAUGAAUAAGGAUCGGCUAACUCCGUGCCAGCAGCCGCGGUAAUACGGAGGAUCCGAGCGUUAUCCGGAUUUAUUGGGUUUAAAGGGAGCGUAGAUGGAUGUUUAAGUCAGUUGUGAAAGUUUGCGGCUCAACCGUAAAAUUGCAGUUGAUACUGGAUAUCUUGAGUGCAGUUGAGGCAGGCGGAAUUCGUGGUGUAGCGGUGAAAUGCUUAGAUAUCACGAAGAACUCCGAUUGCGAAGGCAGCCUGCUAAGCUGCAACUGACAUUGAGGCUCGAAAGUGUGGGUAUCAAACAGGAUUAGAUACCCUGGUAGUCCACACGGUAAACGAUGAAUACUCGCUGUUUGCGAUAUACAGCAAGCGGCCAAGCGAAAGCGUUAAGUAUUCCACCUGGGGAGUACGCCGGCAACGGUGAAACUCAAAGGAAUUGACGGGGGCCCGCACAAGCGGUGGAGCAUGUGGUUUAAUUCGAAGCAACGCGAAGAACCUUACCAAGUCUUGACAUCCCUCUGACCGACUCUUAACCGAGUCUUUCCUUCGGGACAGAGGAGACAGGUGGUGCAUGGUUGUCGUCAGCUCGUGCCGUGAGGUGUCGGCUUAAGUGCCAUAACGAGCGCAACCCUUGUUGUCAGUUACUAACAGGUUUUGCUGAGGACUCUGACAAGACUGCCAUCGUAAGAUGUGAGGAAGGUGGGGAUGACGUCAAAUCAGCACGGCCCUUACGUCCGGGGCUACACACGUGUUACAAUGGGGGGUACAGAGGGCCGCUACCACGCGAGUGGAUGCCAAUCCCCAAAACCUCUCUCAGUUCGGACUGGAGUCUGCAACCCGACUCCACGAAGCUGGAUUCGCUAGUAAUCGCGCAUCAGCCACGGCGCGGUGAAUACGUUCCCGGGCCUUGUACACACCGCCCGUCAAGCCAUGGGAGCCGGGGGUACCUGAAGUGCGUAACCGCGAGGAGCGCCCUAGGGUAAAACUGGUGACUGGGGCU
rnacentral:rRNA from 1 species